GAUGAACGCUAGCGGCAGGCUUAAUACAUGCAAGUCGAGGGGCAGCAUGACUGUAGCAAUACAGUUGAUGGCGACCGGCAAACGGGUGCGGAACACGUACAGAACCUUCCUUCGAGCGGGGAAUAGCCCAGAGAAAUUUGGAUUAAUACCCCAUAGUACAACGGAGUGGCAUCACUUUGUUGUUAAAGAUUUAUCACUUGAAGAUGGCUGUGCGGCUGAUUAGGUAGUUGGCGGGGUAACGGCCCACCAAGCCUGCGAUCAGUAACUGGUGUGAGAGCACGACCAGUCACACGGGCACUGAGACACGGGCCCGACACCUACGGGUGGCUG
rnacentral:rRNA from 1 species